rnacentral:lncRNA from 1 species
UUUGAUGAAGUUGGUCUUUCUGUUUAAAAUUUACUUAAUAUAAAACAGUACUUAAUAUAAAAUGACAUUAUAUUUAUACAUAAUUUAAUUUUUAUACAGAUUAUUUUUAUAAAAUAUUUCUAAAAUGGAAUCAUUUCACUGUUACACUGUUACUCAUGGGUUAGUCAAGAACCAUUUGAGAAAACUUUAUAUUUCCACUUUCCUAUGAAAUGCUUGAAGUAUCCAUGAAACAUAACUUAUCGGAGAGUAUGGGAAAUGUCAUACAGAUCUCAAUGACACAAAUAUUCCUAAAGAGUUUUGAAAUAUUUUGGUUAGAAAAUAUUUUUCAAAAUCCAAUUUAAAAAAUUGAUUUUCUGAAAUGUAUGCAACAUAAGUGGCCAAGAAAACUCUUUUUAAAAUUUUCAUUUUAAACACCUGAUAAGAAUUCUGUGCUUUCCCUGUCUCAUUCCCCUCCGAUAAACUGGAGGAAAAAGGGCUUAGAAUGAUCAACCAUUUUUUUACCUAACCACUUUUCCUGCAUUUACACAUUUUUUUUUAAAAGAGAAGAAAUAACAUUUUUUUUUAAGAGAAAAAAGUUCCAGAGAGAUUAACUUGUUCAAGGUCAUAGAGCUGGUGACAAAAUCAACAGACCUUUGAUUCAGUUCAUUCAUAUCUGUAACUUUAUGCAUAUUUCUACUUAACUAAUUUUGGCAUAUUUUAUGCUUUUUUUUUUUUUUUUUAAAGGANNNNNNNNNNUUUUUUUUUUUUUUUUUUUUUUAAAGGACAGGGCCUAACUUGCCCAGGCUGGAGUGCAGUGGUGCAAUUAUGGCUCACUGCAGCCUCCAGCUCCUGGGCUCAAACAAUCCUCCCACUUGAGUCUCCGUAGUAGCUGGGACUACAGGCAUGUGUCACCACACCUGGAUAAUUUCUUAAAUUUUUUUGUAGAGACGGGAUCUCGUUAUGUUGUCUAGGCUGGUCUAGAACUGUUGGCCUCAAAUGAUCCUCCUGCCUUGGUCUCCCAAGGUGCUGGCUCAUGCCUGUAAUCCUAGCACUUUGGGAGGCCAGGGUGGGCGGAUU